UGCUAUGAUGAGGUUUGUCAGUAAUCUAUGUGCUACAACUUAAUUGUUAAAAAUAAAAUGAAUUUUAAAUACCAUGAACAAAUCUUCAUCAAAUGUUUUUCUGACAAGGUUAAUAUUGUUAGACAUUAAUUUGGGUGUGACGGCAUAAUUGCACAAUAGAGUGUUUUUGUGUGUUAUUAAACCAGAUGGAGUUUAUACUCUGUGUGAAGGAUGUGUACCCCCUGGAGAUUCUCCAGUUUAUAGUAUUGUGUACUAUCAAUACAAUGGUUUAUAUCUGAGUUGGCAGUUUUUACUUUGCACACUUACUACCUACACAUUUUCGCACAUUUGAUUUCCAGACUUGUAGCCACUUACUGGUGUGCUUUUUGUGUUUCUGGCCUGUGCAGUAUUUUUAUUCCCCCUUGACACCUGUAUGUUUACAAGCCAUAGCUCCAAGCUGUAUGUUCAACUGUAUCUUUGCUGGCUGUUGUGAUUGGCUAAGAUCCUGUUAUUGUUUGAUGGUAUUUUGGUUGCCUGGAUUUUGACCUCUGAUUUCUGACCCCUACCCCGACCACCUCCUUAUAUCCUGUCACCCAUUGGUUAUUAAUACAUCUAUUAAUUUGCAUGACAUUAAUGCAGAUUCCAUUAUCACCAACAUUGUUGAUGAAAUAUUGAAUAUUUGAUUUUUUUAAUUUGAUUAGCUAAAAACUGUUGAUCAUUCAUUGAUGAUGACAGAUGUUGUUUGAGUUUAUCAGUAUUAUAAACUGUAGCUUCUGUAUAAUAUCGGGUGUUAUUAGACAUGGAUGGUGGCGGGACUUAUGUUUAAAUGUGAUGGCUUUCUCUACUUCGUACUUUAAUUCAUGAUUAUAGAACAAAUAUCUCCAAACAUCAUAUGAGUACAGUACUUACAUACUCAUGCUGCAGAAUUUUGAUUUUUGAUAGACUAAAAUGUUUGCCAGUUUAAACAUUGGUACUAGAAUACAUGAUGUAGCUGUAAUGUUAACAUGGGUUAUCUUUGGCAAUGAUGCUGUUGUUGGUUUGUGUUUGAUCUACACAGUAGAAAAUUUUACUUCAUUUUUUUAAAGGAGGGUUGUCAGGGGGAAUGUGGAUGGACCCAUCGGGUCAGGUCUACUUACGAGUGAGAUAAGAAGGGAGGUAACUCUGUAUUUUGUUUAUAGAUCAGUGUAGAUCUCUGCUGUUUUAUAGGAGGUAGUGUGGAAGUUCACUAGCCUUAUAGGACACCCUGUAUACCAGGACAGGAUGCUUUAGUUUAUAGGUCACACAGUCAGGAUUGACUGGGAAUAGGGCUUCCACUACAGUAAAAGGGGAUAGUUUAUAGGUCAGACAGUCAGGAUUGACUGGGAAUAGGGCUUCCACUACAGUAAAAGGGGAUAGUUUAUAGGUCACACAGUCAGGAUUGUCUGGGAAUAGGGCUUCCACUACAGUAAAAGGGGAUAGUUUAUAUGUCAGAUAGUCAGGAUUGACUGGGAAUAGGGCUUCCACUACAGUAAAAGGGGAUAGUUUAUAGGUCAGAUAGUCAGGAUUGACUGGGAAUAGGACUUCCACUACAGUAAAAGGGGAUAGUUUAUAGGUCAGAGUCAGGAUUGGCUGGGAAUAGGGCUUCCACUACAGUAAAAGGGGAUAGUUUAUAGGUCACACAGUCAGGAUUGACUGGGAAUAGGACUUCCACUACAGUAAAAGGGGAUAGUUUAUAGGUCACACAGUCAGGAUUGACUGGGAAUAGGGCUUCCACUACAGUAAAAGGGGAUAGUUUAUAGGUCAGAGUCAGGAUUGGCUGGGAAUAGGGCUUCCACUACAGUAAAAGGGGAUAGUUUAUAGGUCAGAUAGUCAGGAUUGGCUGGGAAUAGGGCUUCCACUACAGUAAAAGGGGAUAGUUUAUAGGUCACACAGUCAGGAUUGACUGGGAAUAGGGCUUCCACUACAGUAAAAGGGGAUAGUUUAUAGGUCACACAGUCAGGAUUGACUGGGAAUAGGGCUUCCACUACAGUAAAAGGGGAUAGUUUAUAGGUCACACAGUCAGGAUUGACUGGGAAUAGGGCUUCCACUACAGUAAAAGGGGAUAGUUUAUAGGUCACACAGUCAGGAUUGACUGGGAAUAGGGCUUCCACUACAGUAAAAGGGGAUAGUUUAUAGGUCACAUAGUCAGGAUUGGCUGGGAAUAGGGCUUCCACUACAGUAAAAAGGGAUAGUUUAUAGGUCACACAGUCAGGAUUGACUGGGAAUAGGGCUUCCACUACAGUAAAAGGGGAUAGUUUAUAGGUCACAUAGUCAGGAUUGACUGGGAAUAGGGCUUCCACUACAGUAAAAGGGGAUAGUUUAUAGGUCAGAUAGUCAGGAUUGACUGGGAAUAGGGCUUCCACUACAGUAAAAGGGGAUAGUUUAUAGGUCACACAGUCAGGAUUGACUGGGAAUAGGGCUUCCACUACAGUAAAAGGGGAUAGUUUAUAGGUCACACAGUCAGGAUUGACUGGGAAUAGGGCUUCCACUACAGUAAAAGGGGAUAGUUUAUAGGUCACACAGUCAGGAUUGACUGGGAAUAGGGCUUCCACUACAGUAAAAGGGGAUAGUUUAUAGGUCACAUAGUCAGGAUUGACUGGGAAUAGGGCUUCCACUACAGUAAAAGGGGAUAGUUUAUAGGUCACACAGUCAGGAUUGUCUGGGAAUAGGGCUUCCACUACAGUAAAAGGGGAUAGUUUAUAGGUCACACAGUCAGGAUUGGCUGGGAAUAGGGCUUCCACUACAGUAAAAGGGGAUAGUUUAUAGGUCACAUAGUCAGGAUUGGCUGGGAAUAGGGCUUCCACUACAGUAAAAGGGGAGAUAAUUUGUGUCCAGGACAUUGACAAGUGAUCAUAUCCUUGGAGGAAUUUUCAUUUUAGUGAGCUAAUUCUUUAUCAAAUUGCUCAAGGUUAAAAUUGAAGUGAUAUUUUAAGGAAAUAAAACAUUUUGGUAUGAAAAUUUAUGGAGAUUUAUGAAUCCUGAGAAUAACAGUUUUUGUACUUGGAAAGUGAAUGCUUGUUCCAGUAAUAUUAAUAUGUUUGCUGUUGUUUCAAUAUCAUAAUCAGAAGCAAUAUAUCCUGCAUUUUAAAUUAUAAACAUAAUGUAUAUUGGAACAUUUCUCAAAAAAAAACAAAAAAAAAACAGAUUAAAAGAUUAUUUUUUCAGUAGAGAGAAGUAUAAGAUGGUUUGUGUAACAGUGAUGAGAUGGUUUGUGUUACAGGGAUGUUUUGUAAUUUGGUAGAGAGCUAAUCCACUAGUGAACUUGUUAUUACUACAUGAGGGAGUAAAUAAUACAAUAAAGAAAGUUUUUCCUCUGGAUAGACAUAGUGUUCAUGGUUGUAUCUGUUACAUUCAAGUGUUUAUGAUAUUUCCAAAGAAACCACCCAAAAUCAUUCUUUUAAACUGUUCAAACAAUUUUACUUUCUUAACUUUAUUUUUAAGUUUACAAACAAAUAAUGUAA